rnacentral:rRNA from 1 species
AAACUUUCAACAACGGAUCUCUUGGUUCUGGCAUCGAUGAAGAACGCAGCGAAAUGCGAUAAGUAAUGUGAAUUGCAGAAUUCAGUGAAUCAUCGAAUCUUUGAACGCACAUUGCGCCCUCCGGUAUUCC